CAGCAGCCACGGUAAUACAGAGGGUGCGAGCGUUAAUCGGAUUUACUGGCGUAAAGCGUGCGUAGGCGGCUUCUUAAGUCGGAUGUGAAAUCCCUGAGCUUAACUUAGGAAUUGCAUUCGAUACUGGGAAGCUAGAGUAUGGGAGAGGAUGGUAGAAUUCCAGGUGUAGCGGUGAAAUGCGUAGAGAUCUGGAGGAAUACCGAUGGCGAAGGCAGCCAUCUGGCCUAAUACUGACGCUGAGGUACGAAAGCAUGGGGAGCAAACAGUAUUAGAUACCCCCGUAGUCCCUGUCUCUUAUACA
rnacentral:rRNA from 1 species